GAUAGCAGCUCAAGUGAUGAAUGUACUUUGCUUAUCCUUUCUUUUAAUUUGUUCAUUUUUUCCUUUCCUUUUUUUUUGUUUUGACAUUUCUGGUUGAAGUUUUGUGCACUGAUAAAUCUGAAUGAUUUGGAAUGAGAUUAUUUGGAGUUUUGAUGAAAAUUAAUGAUUAAGGGAAUGCCUUUAAGGAGCUUUUAUUCCAUUGAAAUGAAUGAGGUUUGUGAUAUGAAAGGUUUGUUGGACAUUGAAUCACGUUAUCUCACUCACACCUUGAAAUAUUGUUGUAGGUGAAAUGAUUCAAGAUGUAGAGA
rnacentral:misc_RNA from 1 species